CAUUGCCCAAAGCUAUGAGUCAUCCCUAACUCUUCCUUCUCCUGCCCACAGCUAAUCAAUCACUAAGUCCUAUAAAUUCCUUGCCUUACACAACUCUCAAAUCUGUUCCAUUUUAUUCACCCAAUAUCUUUUUAUGCUGCGCUUCUAUCAUUUCUUCCCUGCACCAGCCUCUGCCUCCAGUCUUGGCAUCUCCACAUAGCAUUCUCCACCUUUAAACCCCUCAGCAACAUCUCAUCAAAUGAGGAUGGAGCGCAAACCUCCUAACAUGACCAUAAGGCCCCUGCCUACCUCUCCACCUCAUCUCUCACUCUUCUCUUUUAUUUCUCUGAGGUCCACCUGGAAAAGCCAAGCUCUCUCAUCCCUAGCCUUGACAGUGGUGUUCCCUUCUGGAAGAAGCAUAAGGAGGCAGGUAAAGCCAUGUGAGCACACAGGGAGAAGGCAGCUGUGUAGAAGCCAGAAAGAGAGUCUCACCAGACACUGAUCCAGCCAGCACCUUGAUCUUGGACUUCCCAGCCUCCAGAACUGUGGUAAGUUGUUAUAGCAACCCAAGCUAACUGAGACAAUAUUCUUCAUGAAAGUAAAUGGAAAGCCACUAGUGGAGUUUGAACAGAAUGGGGACGUGAUCAUAUUUAUAUUUCAAAAAGAAAUGACUGUAGUUGGGAGAACCAACUGAGGUUGGGGGACAGAGAGUUGUUGUCAGAGAGGAUUCAGGUAGACCAGUUAGAAGAUUGUUUAUAGUGGCCCGGGGAAGAUCUGCAGCUUGGACUAUAGAAGAUGGAGAGAAAGGGAGGGAUUCAAGGGGAAUCUGGGAGACAGUAGUGACAGGCCCUGGAGAUGGACUAGCUGCGGGAGAUGAGAGAGAGGAGAGGUCAAGAAUGACGUUGCUGUUUCUGGCUUUGCAACUGGAUGUGCUGAGGCACCAUUUCCUGAACACUGCAAGAGAAACAGCUUGUAGGACACCAGGCUUUCAGAUACAGAGUUCUGAAAAAUUUGAGGGGGUUUGUCUAUUUCCAAAAGUAUCAAGUUGCACAUGCUUAAAAAAAAACAUAACGUUAACUUGCUUCAUUUUUCUUCUUCCACAUAAACUCGAUUUUUCUGCACAAUAUUCCCAGCGUGAGGAGAUGUAUGUGCUGUAGCUUUUGCUUUCAGGAAUGCUUCUUUGAAUAUUUGACCAUCAAAAACCAAUUUGAAGUCUCAUAAGAGAACAUCCUGUUCUGAACUUGCUGUACCCAAAAAAAGUGACAACAACACAUGGGCUGGCGUUACUGCCAUACAGUACAUCAGCAUCUUGCCAAGUUUGUUCUCCCACCUCAGACACAGCUCUGGCCAUUCUGAUGACAAGAUAAAAAGGAGAAUAAUAAGAAGAAUGACAUAAAGGAGAAUACGGUCAAACGGAGUAGCCGUUGCGAUUCAAUUCAAGCACGCCUCCUAUCACGAAGCAGAGGUGCUUAGAACAAUGAUACUUCUGGGAGGUAAAGGGUAUUUUGGUUUUUUAAAAGGAAUUUGUUUCCCAUUUAAAUCAGUUUUUAUUAUUCUUUCCCAUUAAAGUCAGUUUUUAUUACUAUUA